ensembl:miRNA
UUUCCUGCCCUCGAGGAGCUCACAGUCUAGUAUGUCUCAUCCCCUACUAGACUGAAGCUCCUUGAGGACAGGGAUGGUCAUACUCACCUC